rnacentral:rRNA from 1 species
UGGGCAAGUCUGGUGCCAGCAGCCGCGGUAAUUCCAGCUCCAAUAGCGUAUAUUAAAGUUGUUGCCGUUAAAAAGCUCGUAGUUGAACCUUGGACCUGGCUGAUCUGUCCUCCUAAUCGAGCGCACGGAUUCGGUCGGGUCUUUCCUUCUGGGGAGCCCUAUGCCCUUCACUGGGUGUAGUGGGGAACCAGGACUUUUACCUUGAAAAAAUUAGAGUGUUCAAAGCAGGCCUUUGCUCGAAUACAUUAGCAUGGAAUAAUAGAAUAGGACAUCGGUUCUAUUUUGUUGGUUUCUAGGACCGCUGUAAUGAUUAAUAGGGAUAGUCGGGGGCGUCAGUAUUCAAUUGUCAGAGGUGAAAUUCUUGGAUUUAUUGAAGACUAACUACUGCGAAAGCAUUCGCCAAGGAUGUUUUCAUUAAUCAGUGAACGAAAGUUAGGGGAUCGAAGACGAUCAGAUACCGGCGUAGUCUUAACCAUAAACUAUGCCGACUAGGGAUCGGACGGUGGUUUUUUUAUGCCCCGUUCGGCGCCUUACGGGAAAC